CAGAAAGCGUCUAGCCAUGGCGUUAGUAUGAGUGUCGUGCAGCCUCCAGGACCCCCCCUCCCGGGAGAGCCAUAGUGGUCUGCGGAACCGGUGAGUACACCGGAAUUGCCAGGACGACCGGGUCCUUUCUUGGAUCAACCCGCUCAAUGCCUGGAGAUUUGGGCGUGCCCCCGCGAGACUGCUAGCCGAGUAGUGUUGGGUCGCGAAAGGCCUUGUGGUACUGCCUGAUAGGGUGCUUGCGAGUGCCCCGGGAGGUCUCGUAGACCGUGCACCAUGAGCACGAAUC
rfam:Hepacivirus hominis isolate P1A12 polyprotein gene, complete cds